CACGUAGGGCGCAAGCGUUGUCCGGAAUUAUUGGGCGUAAAGAGCUCGUAGGCGGUCUGUUACGUCUGCUGUGAAAACCCGGGGCUUAACCCUGGACCUGCAUCGGGUACGGGCAGACUAGAGUGCGGUAGGGGAGAUCGGAAUUCCUGGUGUAGCGGUGAAAUGCACAGAUAUCAGGAGGAACACCGGUGGCGAAGGCGGAUCUCUGGGCCGUAACUGACGCUGAGGAGCGAAAGCAUGGGGAGCGAACAGG
rnacentral:rRNA from 1 species